GAUCUAAGAGAGAAAAAGAGAGAGAAGAAGAGAAGAAGAAAGGUUCUUCUUCUCUUCUUGGUGAUCUAGUUCAGAUCCCGAUGGAUCUGUGCGAAGGAGUUCGUGCAGCGAUCAUCUUCUUCGAGAUCUAGAAGAAGAGAUGUAGAUUCAAGAUUGAGGAGUGAGAUCUGUAAGAUGCUAGUACACUGAUGAUCUCGAUGCUCCGAUCAGACAUCUCUGUAUAGAUACCAACAA
rnacentral:lncRNA from 1 species